rnacentral:rRNA from 1 species
UACGUAGGUGGCAAGCGUUGUCCGGAUUUAUUGGGUUUAAAGGGUGCGUAGGCGGUCUUUUAAGUCAGUGCUGAAAUACUCCAGCUUAACUGGAGGGGUGGCAUUGAUACUGGAAGACUUGAGUGCAGUCGAGGUAGGCGGAAUUGACGGUGUAGCGGUGAAAUGCUUAGAUAUCAGGAGGAAUACCGAUGGCGAAGGCAGGUCUCUGGGCUGACACUGACGCUCAUGCACGAAAGCGUGGGGAGCGAACAGG